rnacentral:rRNA from 1 species
CCAAGGAGUCUAACAUGUGCGCGAGUCAUUGGGACGUUAGAAGCCUAAAGGCGCAAUGAAAGUGAAGGCCGUGUCUCGGUCACGGCCGAGGGAGGAUGGGUCUCGCGGGGCGCGCUCGCGCGUUCCGUCGGGGCCUCGCACUCCCGGGGCGUCUCGGUCUCAUCGCGAGGCGAGGCGCACCCAGAGCGUACACGUUGGGACCCGAAAGAUGGUGAACUAUGCCUGGUCAGGACGAAGUCAGGGGAAACCCUGAUGGAGGUCCGUAGCGAUUCUGACGUGCAAAUCGAUCGUCGGAACUGGGUAUAGGGGCGAAAGACUAAUCGAACCAUCUAGUAGCUGGUUCCCUCCGAAGUUUCCCUCAGGAUAGCUGGCGCUCGCGCCUUGGCAGGGGGUGGGCGAGUGUUUCGGCACUCGUUACGCCUCCCUGCGUAUCGAGUCUCAUCCGGUAAAGCGAAUGAUUAGAGGCCUUGGGGCCGAAACGACCUCAACCUAUUCUCAAACUUUAAAUGGGUGAGAUCUCUGGCUUGCUCGAACGUUGAAGCCACGAGAUCGGAUCAGAGUGCCAAGUGGGCCACUUUU